UAUGUGUGUACUGUUGACGGUAGAUAACUCCUAUUUUUAAUCAUCAAUAAAUAGCUAAAAAGGGCAUAAUUGUAACAUCAACAUAACAUAGGGGUUUAAUUGACAAAUUUCUACGAGUUUUGGUGAAUAUCUUUUUCUGCAGGGGGUUAUCAGAAAAAGCCAAAAAGAGCCCAUAUGUCAUGUUUACAUAAAGACAGAAGCAGAAGAACCCAC
rnacentral:lncRNA from 1 species